GCAGUGGUGGUUUAGUGGUAGAAUUCUUGCCUUCUAUGCUUCCAUGUGAGAGACCCAGUCUCGAUUCCUGGCCAAUGUA
rnacentral:tRNA from 1 species